rnacentral:rRNA from 1 species
UGUGUAGGCGGUUGUUUAAGUUUGGUGUGAAAUCUCCCGGCUCAACUGGGAGGGUGCGCCGAAUACUGAAUGACUAGAGUGCGGGAGAGGAAAGUGGAAUUCCUGGUGUAGCGGUGAAAUGCGUAGAUAUCAGGAGGAACACCGGUGGUGUAGACGGCUUUCUGGACCGUAACUGACGCUGAGACACGAAAGCGUGGGUAGCAAACAGGAUUAGAUACCCUGGUAGUCCACGCCCUAAACGAUGCAUAUUUGGUGUGGGCAGUUCAUUCUGUCCGUGCCGGAGCUAACGCGUUAAAUAUGCCGCCUGGGGAGUACAGUCGCAAGGCUAGAA